rnacentral:rRNA from 1 species
ACGCUGAGGCACGAAAGCGUGGGUAGCAAACAGGAUUAGAUACCCUGGUAGUCCAUGCCGUAAACGAUGAUUACUAGGUGUGGGUGGUCUGACCCCAUCCGUGCCGGAGUUAACACAAUAAGUAAUCCACCUGGGGAGUACGGCCGCAAGGUUGAAACUCAAAGGAAUUGACGGGGGCCCGCACAAGCAGUGGAGUAUGUGGUUUAAUUCGACGCAACGCGAAGAACCUUACCAAGUCUUGACAUCCCUUGACGAUGCUGGAAACAGUAUUUCUCUUCGGAGCAAGGAGACAGGUGGUGCAUGGUUGUCGUCAGCUCGUGUCGUGAGAUGUUGGGUUAAGUCCCGCAACGAGCGCAACCCUUAUGGUCAGUUACUACGCAAGAGGACUCUGGCCAGACUGCCGUUGACAAAACGGAGGAAGGUGGGGAUGACGUCAAAUCAUCAUGCCCUUUAUGACUUGGGCUACACACGUACUACAAUGGCGUUAAACAAAGAGAAGCAAGACCGCGAGGUGGAGCAAAACUCAGAAACAACGUCCCAGUUCGGACUGCAGGCUGCAACUCGCCUGCACGAAGUCGGAAUUGCUAGUAAUCGUGGAUCAGCAUGCCACGGUGAAUACGUUCCCGGGCCUUGUACACACCGCCCGUCACACCAUGAGAGCCGGGGGGACCCGAAGUCGGUAGUCUAACCGCAAGGAGGACGCCGCCGAAGGUAAAACUGGUGAUUGGGGUGAAGUCGUAACAAGGUAGCCGUAGGAGAACCUGCGGCUG